CCUACGGGAGGCAGCAGUGGGGAAUAUUGGGCAAUGGGCGCAAGCCUGACCCAGCAACGCCGCGUGAAGGAAGAAGGCUUUCGGGUUGUAAACUUCUUUUGUCAGGGACGAAGCAAGUGACGGUACCUGACGAAUAAGCCACGGCUAACUACGUGCCAGCAGCCUCGGUAAUCCGUAGGUGGCAAGCGUUAUCCGGAUUUCCUGGGUGUAAAGGGCGUGUAGGCGGGGAAGCAAGUCAGAUGUGAAAACCACGGGCUCAACCUGUGGCCUGCAUUUGAAACUGUUUUUCUUGAGUACUGGAGAGGCAGACGGAAUGCCUAGUGUAGCGGGGAAAUGCGUAGAUAUUAGGAGGAACACCAGUGGCGAAGGCGGUCUGCUGGACAGCAACUGACGCUGAGGCGCGAAAGCGUGGGGAGCAAACAGGAUUAGAUACCCUGGUAGUC
rnacentral:rRNA from 1 species